rnacentral:rRNA from 1 species
UACAGAGGGGCGAGCGUUGUUCGGAAUUACUGGGCGUAAAGGGCGCGUAGGCGGCCUUCUAAGUCGAACGUGAAAUCCCCGGGCUCAACCCGGGAACUGCGUCCGAUACUGGGAGGCUUGAAUCCGGGAGAGGGAUGUGGAAUUCCAGGUGUAGCGGUGAAAUGCGUAGAUAUCUGGAGGAACACCGGUGGCGAAGGCGGCAUCCUGGACCGGUAUUGACGCUGAUGCGCGAAAGCCAGGGGAGCAAACGGG